CGCGGCUCCGGGCAUGCGCGGCGGCUGUGUCCUCCUCCCCGCAGGUUCCGUCCUCCCGCCGCGGCUUUCGGGCUCCCCGAGCACCGGGGACUGAUCCCGGAGAAAUGACAUCUUCAGGGAGAAGACUUUGAAGAAAUGCCUGAUGUGACAGUAGAAAUAUUUUCUUCCGGUAUCUCAUCUAAAAUACUGAAUGCAGUGAUAUGCUGGACAGUUUACAGUAAUUCUUGAGGAUGUUUUAAUGCUGGAGCCAGUGCCCAAAUACACAGACUUACACCUCAAUUCACAAACAAUACUUUCUUGAGAGCUUUUAUUUUGAGGCAGAUCUGCCAGUUCUUUCAGUGGGA